rnacentral:rRNA from 1 species
CAUGUGGUUUAAUUCGAUGAUACGCGAGGAACCUUACCUGGGCUCGAACGUAAGAUGACUGUAGGUGAAGGCUUACAUCUCUUCGGAGCAUUUUACGAGGUGCUGCAUGGUUGUCGUCAGCUCGUGCCGUGAGGUGUCGGGUUAAGUCCCAUAACGAGCGCAACCCCUACCUUUAGUUGCCAUCAGGUUAAGCUGGGGACUCUAAAGGAACUGCCUACGCAAGUAGUGAGGAAGGCGGGGAUGACGUCAAAUCAGCACGGCCCUUACGUCCAGGGCUACACACGUGCUACAAUGGCCGAUACAGAGGGGCAGCUACCUGGUGACAGGAUGCAAAUCUCCAAAGUCGGUCUCAGUUCGGAUCGGAGUCUGCAACCCGACUCCGUGAAGUUGGAUUCGUUAGUAAUCGCGCAUCAGCCAUGGCGCGGUGAAUACGUUCCCGGGCCUU